rnacentral:rRNA from 1 species
GACGAACGCUGGCGGCGUGCUUAACACAUGCAAGUCGAGCGGUAAGGCCCUUUUGGGGGGUACACGAGCGGCGAACGGGUGAGUAACACGUGGGUGACCUGCCCUCAGCUCUGGGAUAAGCCUGGGAAACUGGGUCUAAUACUGGAUAUGACCUUUCCUCGCAUGGGGUUGGGUGGAAAGUUUUUCGGCUGGGGAUGGGCCCGCGGCCUAUCAGCUUGUUGGUGGGGUGAUGGCCUACCAAGGCGACGACGGGUAGCCGGCCUGAGAGGGCGACCGGCCACACUGGGACUGAGACACGGCCCAGACUCCUACGGGAGGCAGCAGGUGGGGAAUAUUGCGCAAUGGGCGGAAGCCUGACGCAGCGACGCCGCGGU